CAGAUGCAAGGCCCUACAGGGCCGCGCAAGAUUUCAAAUAGUUCAGGACACUGCUUCCAAGUUGAUCUCAGUUAACCGUGAAAAUUCAACAACGCUGCCCCAAUUAAAGCAAGUGCGAGACAUGCUUGUAUUCCUGUGGAUCUGGCAAGCACUACUGCAUACCAGCGCAAAUUUCACUUUCCAAGCUUGCGUCGCCGUCGACCGAGGGCCGGGGAGUAUCGAUUCCAGCGGAGAAACGCCAACCCUCUACAUUGGCACGACUCGUGCAAGUAUGCUAUAUGAGCAAGUUGGGCCAUAAUAUGCUGUCAAACAUAGUAGCUUUAAUCAGAAUAGCUUUAAGCAGGUGACAGAGCUGUACUACAUAUUAUACUUUAUCGGCGCUGACGUCACAGAUCACCGGUAACACAGUGCUUUUCCAAUGCCCCUCAGAUCAAUGCUUUUCUCAGAUGUUUCGGCCAAGACCCACUUCACAUACUAAACAGCAUAAUAUACCGAAUCACAAGGCGUAUUACUAGUCGUAAGCGUCGUGGCUGGCCACAGCAUCUUGCGAUGGAUAUGAUCAGUUUGCUACGCGGCGUUUUAAAACGUCGUGCGACUUCAGACAGAUGGGUGCAAAUGCUCGCCGCGCGGUAAUGCAGUGGGUUCAGUGCAAAGCUAUGAGCUGAUGUUGGUUGUGUUCAUGUCGUGAGGAGUUGACUGGCUAGAAGAACGGACUUUUUUACUUUCGUAUCUGUACCACCAACGGAGGGAAGAGCUACGCUUGCUGCAGGGUUCGUGUACCGUCGUGCUGGGGAAAUGCUGCGAGGCAUCAGCCGACUUUGUGACGUCACUGACAUCCGUUUUGUAUCAACCGCGCGCCACUGCUCUGACGGAUCAUCGCAGUAUGCAACGUCACGGGUUGAGUUUUUACGGGCUCUUUUGGACCGACUGAUGGCCAUGAGGCAUCAGUCAGCAAUAUGACGUCACUGGUUUUCGACUUAGUGGGUGACGUCAUUGGUCAAAGCUAUGUAUGGGUUUGUUUAGACCGACUUAGGUCAUAAGACAUUAGCUAACGAUAUGACGUCACUGAUAUUCGACUUACCUCAAGCGCAAUACGCCAUGUUCGAUCUUCACCGGUCGUACCUGUCUACUGCAAGUAUUCGCGUGCUGAAUAAUGGCUGUGCCAAAUCAACUGAAUGCGUGACGUCAGUGGCCAUGUAUUUUUAGGCCUCUCUCGGGCCGUCCACAGGCCAUAGAGCAUCAGCUGACGACAUGACGCCACUGGUAUUCGAGAGGGUUUCGGGGCGCAUCGACUGCUGUAGGUCAUGCAGCAAGCUGGCAUUCGAUUCAACCUCAAGCGCAACAGGCCAUGUAUCUUUACUUUUCGUGCCUGUCUUCUGCCAGCAUUCGCGUGCUGAAUGAAGGGUCUGCCGAAUCAACUGAGUGUGUUACGUCAUCGAUCAUGAGUUAAUACGGGUUCACUUUGACCACCCAAGGCCGCGAAGCAUCAUAUCCCGUGAAACAUUACCGGAUGAUACGACGCCACUGGUAUUCGACGAAACAUCAGGCUCAACAGGCAAUGCUCCAUCUUUACCUUUCGUACCUGUCUACUGCAAGUAUUGGUGUGCUGAUUGGAGGCUUUGCCGAAUCACCUAAGCAUGUGACGUCACUGGCCAUGAGUUUAAAGGCUCUUUUGGGCCUAUUUAAGGCUCUAAGGCAUCAGCCUGACGAUAUGACGUCACUGGUAUUAGACUCAACCUCAGGGACAAUUUGUCAUGUUCCAUCUUCACCUUUCACACUGGUCUACUGUAAUCGAACGACGGCUCACGCUCAGGUGAUUCGGCAGAGCUUUCUUUCAGCACACCAGUGCUUGGUGUGCGGGUAUGAAAGGUUAAGGUGGAACAUGGGCUGUUGCGCCUGAUGUUUAGUUGAAUACCAGUGACGUCAUAUCCAGUGAUACUUUCUGGCCUUGGCGAACCUAAGUAAAUUCGUAGGAAUCAUGAUCAGUGACGUCACACACCCAGCUGAUUCGGCAGAGCCUUCAUUCAGCACGCCAACACUCACAACACACGGGUACGAAAGGUAAAGAUGGAACAUGGCCUGCUGUGCUUGAUGUCUAGUUGAAUGCCAGUGACGCCAUAUCGUCCGGUGAUGGUUCACGGGUAUGAUGCAUGAUGGCCUUGGGGCCCAAGGGAACUCGUACAAAGCCGUUAUCAGUGACGUCACAUUAUCAGGUGAUUCGGCAGAAUCGUUGCUCAGCACGCAAAUGCUUGCAGUAAGACAGGUGCAAAGGUAAAGAUGGAUCAUGGCCUGUCGCGUCUGAUGUUUUGUCAAACACCAGUGGCGUUGUAUUGUCAGUUAAUGCUUUACAGCAUUCAUUCGGCCCAAAAGAGACCUGAAAACUCACAACCAGGGACGUCACACGCUCAGUCGAAUGCCAGUGAUGUAACACCGUCUGGUAAUGCCUUACAGCCUUCAGUCGGCCCAAGAGCCCAGUGACGUCACAUUAUCGGCUGGUGUUUCACAUCCUUAAUGCGGCGCUACAGUACUCACACCCUGCAACCAGCGUCCUCUUCCCUCCAUCGGCGAGACAGGUACGAAAGUAACAUUUUACCCAAGAACAUGGCUAAUCGUCACUUUUUUAAGUUACGGCGUCAAAAGAUUGUAGGUCCGCUGGUCAAGAAGGUUUGUAGUUUGUGAAUACCUGAGCUGAAGCUGCAGAGUUAAACGGAGGACGUUGGAGCGAUUCAUGCCAAGGAUCCAUUCGUGGUUUCCUACUGCUGAGAAUAGCGUCUUUGGGUGAGAGCCCUGGCAUCGCUGGUGUAGGCCUCUCAUGUUGGCCGUUGUAUGGCAGAGUUAGCGUACUGAUCGGUGGACACGCAUGGGAUAAAGCACUUGUAAUUAUCAUCAUUUUGCAGAUAAAGCUGAAUAAAGGUGUUAGAGGUCUUCAAAGACAUUUUUUUUCACUAUUGAUAACAAUAUCCCACGGGUUUUGCUGCAAAAAGUCGUGAUAAUGUCGGGGAGAGCGCGUUCUGCACUGGCAACGAUAAAGCAAAGAUAGUGGAGUUCGCCAACGCUUCCAGUUGAUUGUACGAUGACGUCACAAAACCAAAAUUCAUUAUCUCCGGGUUUUUGCAGAACCACGUGAUUGGUCAAUGAAGGGCAGCAGGGAUGCAGUUUUUCCAAACACGCAAGGAUGAGAGAGGGAAGGGGAGCAGGGUGCAGAAUAAAAAAUGACUGAAAAAAAUCCGAAAUCCACUUAAAUUAGUUUUCUCCACUGAUUUGACGCACUUUCUUUUCACAGUCGCCAGCAGUGGUGCAGUUUCUCAGAAUUAGUUUUGGGAGGCUCAACACAAGAAUUAUGAGUAAAGAAACAUAAUGGAUGGAAAUGCCAACUAAACAUACGAAACUUCGUCACUGGUUAGAAGCCACGCAUGAAGGCAGAUCACCAGUCAACGCCACAGAGACUCCACCGUCACUCCGCGCGCACCGGCAUGGCCCUGCCCCACCCAGCUGGCUAGCGGCGCGCCCACGCGUCCCGCAGCAUCUUCCAAACUGUACGGCUGAGGAGACCGCAGAGACGUCAGAGAACCUCGGCCGGCGUUGGGGAGACCACGAAGACGUCCGGGGCCAUUGGCUAGAGCGAGCCUCGAGCCGCCGGCUAGCCGUACAGUUCACAGCGGAGCUCCUGUAUGCACUCGUUGAUGGCGCCGAUGAUGUCAGCGUGGUGCUUCCGCCGCUGGCGGAGAGCGUGCUCUCUGACGGCGUCCUGGGGGUUCUGGUGCACUUGGAACGCCAGCAGCUGCAUCUCGCACGUCUGAACACGAACAAGUACAACGGCUGUGUCACAAAGGGGGCCAGCUCUGCGGGUUGAUGUGCCACUUUGUCACUCCACUGUGCUGAAGCAAAAUGAGAAUGUUAAAGCGGUUCUGUAAUGCCGUGCAUGUGAAGUAAAUGCCGCCCCUAA